rnacentral:rRNA from 1 species
ACUCCUACGGGAGGCAGCAGUGGGAAUAUUGCACAAUGGGGAAGCCCAUCGAUGCAGCCAUGCCGCGCUGUGUGAAGAAGGCCAUUCGGGCUUGUUAAAGACACUUUUCAGUUAGGGAGGAAGGUAGUGUAGUUAACACCUGCAUUAUUUGACGUUACCUACAGAAGAAGCACCGGCUAACUCCGUGCCAGCAGCCGCGGUAAUACGGAGGGUGCGAGCGUUAAUCGGAAUUACUGGGCGUAAAGCGCAUGCAGGCGGCCUGUUAAGUCAGAUGUGAAAGCCC